UACGGGGGGGGCAAGCGUUGUUCGGAAUUACUGGGCGUAAAGGGCUCGUAGGCGGCCAACUAAGUCGGACGUGAAAUCCCUCGGCUUAACCGGGGAACUGCGUCCGAUACUGGAUGGCUUGAGUUUGGGAGAGGGAUGCGGAAUUCCUGGUGUAGCGGUGAAAUGCGCAGAUAUCAGGAGGAACACCGAUGGCGAAGGCGGUCUCUGGGCCACUACUGACGCUGAGAAGCGAAAGCGUGGGGAGCGAACAGG
rnacentral:rRNA from 1 species